rnacentral:rRNA from 1 species
GAUGAACGCUAGCGGCAGGCUUAAUACAUGCAAGUCGAGGGGCAGCAGGACUGUAGCAAUACAGUUGCUGGCGACCGGCAAACGGGUGCGGAACACGUACGCAACCUUCCUUUAAGUGAGGGAUAGCCCAGGGAAACUUGGAUUAAUACCUCGUAAUAUUUGAGAGUGGCAUCACUUUCUAAUUAUAGCUCCGGCGCUUAAAGAUGGGCGUGCGACUGAUUAGGUAGUUGGCGGGGUAACGACCCACCAAGCCUGCGAUCAGUAACUGGUGUGAGAGCACGACCAGUCACACGGGCACUGAGACACGGGCCCGACUCCUACGGGAGGCAGCAGUAAGGAAUAUUGGUCAAUGGACGCAAGUCUGAACCAGCCAUGCCGCGUGGAGGAUGAAGGUCCUCUGGAUUGUAAACUUCUUUUAUCUGGGAAGAAACCCAUAUUUUCUAGUGUGGUUGACGGUACCAGAUGAAUAAGCACCGGCUAACUCCGUGCCAGCCGCCGCCGUAACAC